AAUAACAACUAUCUACAGAAAAACCAAUCACAGCGCGCUGAGUUUAUUCACUCCUUAUAGUUGUUUUAAAAAGAACGCGUGGCCCAGAUCACGAACUAUCCUAGACAAGUAGGAAGUGGAACCAGCAUAAGGAAGAAGUUAAACGCACAAAUCUAAAGCAAGAACGAACAUGGCCAGCGAGAUAAACCUAGGUUAUUUGAAGAGCAAGAAAGGAAUUUUGAAGAUUGUGGAGAGUCUCGUGACUUGUGUGGCUUUCGCAAGCAUGAUGGUUGCAAAUAAAGGGACUUGUUUGAGAGGAAUUUUCAGAGGCGGAUCCGGAGUAAUAAUGCUACCGGAGUACUAUUUUCGUUUUGACUUCUUUAUAGCUAUCCACCUCAUUGGCUUUAUCGCAGCCAUGCUCAUUUUCGUGGUGCAUUUCAUCUCUCCUCAAGAGCCUGUGGGGUCUGCUAAGAUAUGGAACAUCUUGGUAAAUAUUUUAUUAACCAUUUUU